GGCUCAAGCCUGUAAUCCCAGCGCUUUGGGAGGCCAAAGCGGGCGGAUCACGAGGUCGGGAGAUCGAGACCAUCCUGGCUAACACGGAAUGAGUUAAUGAGCGUGGAAAGUCUGACAAUAGGGAAGGAAAAGCAGAGAAUAUUCAAGAAAGCAAGCCACUGGAAGAGAUGGUAGGGAAGGCAGAGAUAAGAAAAUGAGGUGGUACUGGAAAUUGCUCAGAAGCACCGCAUGUUGAUGAAUUGCCAACACCUUUCAAUUAAUUAAAUCACUAUAUUUGGCUCUGUCUCUGGUGGGUUUACUGCUUAUCCCAAGCAGGUGUUGAUGGAUUAGGACAUUCCUCUCUGGCUGAUUCCUGAUUAAAUUUGGACAAAGGACCUGACAGCUGUCAUGUCUCUGUUUCCCAUAACUCUUCCCUCAAAUCAGAAAGCACAGAGUCUGCUACAGGAGAAAAGCGUGGAGAGCCAUCUUGUGCAGCAAUGAAGGUCACUGUGCAAGUACACCUAAUUACAUCAUCCGAGGCCAUAAAGAACUGAGUGUGGACUUCGGUUAAAAUACUUAAAAUACCUGCACACUUAGUACAUGAAAUCUGGCUUCUCCACAAGCUGCAAAAGUGACCAGUGGACAAUUUGGAGACACAGUAUUUUUGUAUAGCCUCUUGGAAGACAUCUACAUGGUAGACAGAGCACUCUUGUGCAGCAACUAGCUAAAACUCUCCACAAAACAAUGAAGCCCUAGCAAGUGCAUUUGACUUCCAUCUUUCCCCACGUCAGUCUCUGCGUCCCUCAUUGUCUAUGUUCUGCAAAUGCCCUACUGAAGAAACCAGUUACACUUAAGCCUUGCCUUGGCUUAAUUUUCAAGGAAACUGGAUUUAAGACACAAGGGCAGAGAAGCUUAGUUUCUCAUCUAAGACAAUUCUUUCACAAAAUUGUGCUAUGGAACAUGUAAGAGAAUUACCUACUCUAGUGUGAAAAUCAGAGAAAGCUCCUUUGAGGAGGUGACAGAUGAAGCAACAUCUGAAGCAUGAUACUCAAUAUUAUUUAAUAUAUAUACACCUGAGUAAUUAUAUGUUAUAUCUUUAAAACCAGAGAAGAUGUGGACACAAUUAUGAUUUGAUUUUACUUUGAUAACAACAGUUAUAUAUUUUAUAUGUUUUUUCACCUAAAAGAAUAAAGAAAAAAUAUUAGAGAGCAUACCAGAUAGAUUAUAUGUAUCAUCUAGCACAAAGAUUAUAAAAUCAGAGCAACCUUGAUUAAAAUUUCUGGAUUCUCCAGUUUGUUAAAUUCUCUGAAUCUGUUUUAGGUUUUGUGAUUGUGGGAAAAUAAAAUUUAAAUAAAAUAAUUUUAUAGGGUCAAAUUAAAUUAGAAGUAAGUCAGAAUAUAGCAAAUGGAUAAAUACUACAAAUAUUAUUUUUGUCCAUUCUCUUACAUGGAUGAUCAUGCUCUUCUUAUAUGAUUAUGAAAAUUCUCCCCCAUUAGUCACUUUUGAGCUUAGAAGACCUCUUAUUUUUAAGGAUUUGUUUAAUCCAUUCUGCAAAUAUUUUUGAAUAACUACUAUGCAUGUGACACAACAGCAAACCAAACAAAUAGAAAAUCUUUUUCCUUUUGGAUCUUAUGUUCUGGAAAACAGAUCAUUUAUUGCUCUGUUAAUGUCUUCCAAACCACUAGAUUAAUUUUCCCCAGCCUAAAAUGUGCUCUAUUACCAUCCAUAAACAAAACAAAAACAACCCAUGUCUCCAUUCUCCUCUAACCAUCUAAUAUAAAUUUGUUUUAAAGCCAAGUUUCUAGAGUCUGCAAAUGUUAGUCAUUUUUCUGAUCUUCCAUUAACUCCUCAACCUACUAUAGUAGAACUUCUACCCUCUACGUUUCUAAUAAAACUGUUUUCCCAGUU